UCUUUGGAGCAUUCCAGAACUUUGUGCGUGCGGCGGUAUGUGUGCUGGUUGCGUGAUGAGUUUGCUGCGUUUUCUGUGCCCUUUGCCUCGCUGUGACAUCUUUUGUAUAUUUCAACCUGUUGCUCGCUCUUUAUGGGCUACACGUUGCCUCGAAGAUCACCAUGAUCGCCUCCGACUCAGCCAAAUCGAAGAAUCAAAAUGAGCCUGGAGACGCCACAGCCGGAAUGCGAAAGGUUGGAGAAGUGCUCAUUCAGAUGAUCCUGGCACAGAUUGCCAUGGUGGACCAGGCAAGUUUGCAGCGGCCUUGAUUCACAAUGUGUUCACAGAGAAGAACCUCAUGGGCCACUCACUUCUCGAAAACACCACCACCAAUAGGCAAAAAGAGGCUCUUGGCCUUAUUAGGGUCAACACUGUUAUAGGCAAGUACCGUACAUCCUUUUUCCCAUUGCAUUUUUGCAUUCACAUUUUGUACUUGGAAUUACUAGCUUGCUAUUAGCACAACAAAUGAUUUUCAAGUAGCCUGUGUCUGCAACUACGUGCUACAAUAGCCUACUAUUUGGGAUGAAUGUUCAUUUGAUCUCAAGUCUCUAAUGCCUCCCUACUAAAGUGCUAAAUUUUAAAAGCAGCCUUAACUGCCAGAAGUGAUUGGUGGCUACAACUGACAAAGUUAGGUGUAUUUGCACAUUAGUUGCUCUACUUGACUGUCCAUGCAAUGAACAGUUGCAAUGAAGCAACUACCAAUCUGUGAAGCAUGCUACCAAUCUGGUGGUAUAGCGGGUGUGCUUAAGUAGCCUGAAAGUGUUGUUAUAAUAUAGGAAUUGUGGAGAAGCUAUGCUCAAGUGCAGUUACUGCUCAACUCGAGGGACAGCACUUCCACCAAAUUUCAGCAAUCAAAAUGGCCCUCCAGAUUCUCUAACACAAAACAUAGUGGUUUCACCUACUUCGACAGACCACAUUGAAUUAAAGUUGCUCCAGUCUUGAAGGAGGUCCAUGUGGUGGCAGACAGUAGCCUUUUAG